CUUAAUGUGGAAUCUCUGUGCUUUUCUAUUGCCCCUUUGGUUCUUGGGCGAAGUGGUUACUUGAGCUUUGCCCCUGCACAAAACUUUGUUCUCCAGGGGACCCAAGAGAGUCUGAAAAGACAUCUCAGUACCCCUCCUUAGCUCAGCUCUUGCUGUGCUUGCAGUUUGCCCACUUCUUUUCACUGAGCUUUAUGGUUUUACCAGUCCACAUUACCUCUGCUGUUCUUUUCACGUUCACUUUCCUCCUGCUCUACCUGAUCACUUUUACUGUUUCCUCUAAUGACUGCAUCUGCUAAUCUAGGAGAUGUUUAUAAUUAGAAGACUUCUCAAAAUGUGCAGUUAUAAUAUGUGAGAUUUUUAAUGCAGCAAGAAAGACACAAAAAUCAUGAUUUGCAUACCUUGUUUGUUAAAAUUAAAAGCUAAGCCUUGUGUUCAGCUAGUAGCUGUUUCAGCAGCAGAAAGAAGUUCAGCUAAUUUUAAAGAUUUUUCCUUAAUACCUCUUGGGUUAGAAAAGAAGGGAAAAGGAAAUAGUAAUUCUGCUGAAAACAUUCAUGAAGUGCAGAGCAGACUUGUUUGCUUGUUUCUUUCUCCCCCUUAGGCAUCUGUAAUUCAAAUAAACAAAAAUCCAAAGCAGUGAUUCUUUUUGUCCCCUCAUCCCCUGAGCUUUUCCAGGCUUCAGUGUCUCUUCCUCAGCAGAACUUCAAUGCAGUUGAUGCUGUCCAUGACUAACUCCAAGUCUGCCUCUUCCUGGAGCCUGCAGAGUCAGGAUUGCCUUAUGUAGAGUGAUGCAAACUUUACUGUGCUGUCAUUUCUUUGUGCUGCUCAUUUUACAGAAAAAGUGGGGAAGUACAAAGCCAGCCCUUCAUCUUUCUCCUGUCCUACCCAGACUUUUCUGCAGAUGUGUUGAGAGUCAUCACAAACUGAUUUUUCGUUUUAAAGCUCCCACCCCUCUGUCCUGCUGGAAGCUGGUAUUUGAUUCCUUGCUGUUUUCAGUUUCUCUGCAUUCCCCCCAUAGUGCUGUUUGUUGGUAGCAGUGUGACUCCAGCACAGAGCCCUUGGGGUUGCAUAAGUGACCAAUUCAAUACCAGCUGCAGGACUGAUAGUUUUUAGGGAUUUAAUACUGUAAACCCCAGUGGAAACAAUGAGAGAUUUCUUUGCGAGAUAAAAGUUAUGAACCGUCAAGAUAUACAGCUAAACAACUUCAGAAAGGACUGGCCUCUUUCAGAAAGGAAGGGAAGUCAGACAGUAAACCAGCAGAAAAGAAGAAAAAUAACCCUGAAAACUUGAAUGAAAUGGCACAAUGAGGUGAACAGGACUGAAGAAGGAAAAGUAUGCCUGGUGUUCUUACAUAGCUAAUGGACUUUCCGUAAGAGAAGUAUUAAACUCCAAAAAAUACUCAGAAAAAAACUUAAAAAGAAAGAAUAAAUAGCUAGGAAAUGUAA